rnacentral:lncRNA from 1 species
UGCGGCGGGACAAAAAACGGUGCUAGCGCGCAGCGAAGAACCAGGCGAGGGGCGGGGUCAGAGAGAAAGGCCAGCGAGGGGCGGGGCCGGAAGGACAGUGCUCCUCCCCUCAGGGGCUGCUUCUGAGCUUGGCUCCUGAUUGACAGGAGGCAGAGCCCCGUGUUGUCACUAGCGGGCCACAUCGCUCAGGAGUAAAACAGUUUCUGUGAGAGACAAAAAAAGGUCGAUGUGUUCUUAGGUUCCAAAGAUUUCUCCCUGGAAUCAGGACAGAAAGACAUCAUGACAUAUUGAGUUUCUUAAUAUAGCAGAAGAUGAUGGAAUCAUCCAAGGUAAUCAAACCAUCAAACCUGAUGUAGCUUUCAAGCUAGACCAAGAAGAGUCACGGAUAAUGGAUGAAGAAAUCCUAACUCAAAACUUUUUAGGGUCUUCCAGGCUCGUCUCAAGUUCGUUAAGUACUCAGGAAUAACCUUGAAGUUUUGAUCUGCCCAUUCUAAAGUUACAUAAAACCUUCUCAUGGUUUGCAAUAACUUCUAUUGCUAGCAUCAUCUAUAUAUGAUACAUAUAUAUAUAUUUGUUUAUAGGUUUAAUUAUUGGCCCAAUUAAAAAAAGGAUUAAUGUCAAACGUUGAUAACAGUAAAUUUGAGAUGCUGAGACAGAAGGAACACCACAAGUCUAAGUUCAGCCUGACCUUCAGAGCAGGUGUUGAGAUGGCUCAGUCAAUAAAGGCAUUUGCAACCAACCAUGAUACCCUUAGUUUGAUUCCUGAACCCCACAUGGCACGCGAAAAGAACUGACUCAAGCUGCCCUUUGAUUUUCAAACAUGUAUGUAUGCUGAGGAUGUACACACAAAUAAAAAAAUUAAUAU